rnacentral:rRNA from 1 species
GAUGAACGCUGGCGGCGUGCCUAAUACAUGCAAGUCGAACGCUUCACUUCGGUGAAGAGUGGCGAACGGGUGAGUAAUACAUAAGUAACCUGGCAUCUACGGGGGGAUAACUGAUGGAAACGUCAGCUAAGACCGCAUAGGUGUAGAGAUCGCAUGAACUCUAUAUGAAAAGUGCUACGGGACUGGUAGAUGAUGGACUUAUGGCGCAUUAGCUGGUUGGUAGGGUAACGGCCUACCAAGGCGACGAUGCGUAGCCGACCUGAGAGGGUGACCGGCCACACUGGGACUGAGACACGGCCCACACUCCUACGGGAGGCAGCAGUAGGGAAUUUUCGGCAAUGGGGGAAACCCUGACCGAGCAACGCCGCGUGAAGGAAGAAGUAAUUCGUUAUGUAAACUUCUGUCAUAGAGGAAGAACGGUGGAUAUAGGGAAUGAUAUCCAAGUGACGGUACUCUAUAAGAAAGCCACGGCUAACUACGUGCCAGCAGCCGCGGUAAUACGUAGGUGGCGAGCGUUAUCCGGAAUUAUUGGGCGUAAAGAGGGAGCAGGCGGCACUAAGGGUCUGUGGUGAAAGAUCGAAGCUUAACUUCGGUAAGCCAUGGAAACCGUAGAGCUAGAGUGUGUGAGAGGAUCGUGGAAUUCCAUGUGUAGCGGUGAAAUGCGUAGAUAUAUGGAGGAACACCAGUGGCGAAGGCGACGAUCUGGCGCAUAACUGACGCUCAGUCCCGAAAGCGUGGGGAGCAAAUAGGAUUAGAUACCCUAGUAGUCCACGCCGUAAACGAUGAGUACUAAGUGUUGGGGGUCAAAGCUCAGUGCUGCAGUUAACGCAAUAAGUACUCCGCCUGAGUAGGUACGUUCGCAAGAAAGAAACUCAAAGGAAUUGACGGGGGCCCGCACAAGCGGUGGAGCAUGUGGUUUAAUUCGAAGCAACGCGAAGAACCUUACCAGGUCUUGACAUCGAUCUAAAGGCUCCAGAGAUGGAGAGAUAGCUAUAGAGAAGACAGGUGGUGCAUGGUUGUCGUCAGCUCGUGUCGUGAGAUGUUGGGUUAAGUCCCGCAACGAGCGCAACCCCUGUUGCCAGUUGCCAGCAUUAAGUUGGGGACUCUGGCGAGACUGCCGGUGACAAGCCGGAGGAAGGCGGGGAUGACGUCAAAUCAUCAUGCCCCUUAUGACCUGGGCUACACACGUGCUACAAUGGACAGAGCAGAGGGAAGCGAAGCCGCGAGGUGGAGCGAAACCCAUAAAACUGUUCUCAGUUCGGACUGCAGUCUGCAACUCGACUGCACGAAGAUGGAAUCGCUAGUAAUCGCGAAUCAGCAUGUCGCGGUGAAUACGUUCUCGGGCCUUGCAC